rnacentral:rRNA from 1 species
GAUGAACGCUGGCGGCGUGCCUAAUACAUGCAAGUCGAGCGAACAGACGAGGAGCUUGCUCCUCUGACGUUAGCGGCGGACGGGUGAGUAACACGUGGAUAACCUACCUAUAAGACUGGGAUAACUUCGGGAAACCGGAGCUAAUACCGGAUAAUAUAUUGAACCGCAUGGUUCAAUAGUGAAUGACGGUUUUGCUGUCACUGAUAGAUGGAUCCGCGCCGCAUUAGCUAGUUGGUAAGGUAACGGCUUACCAAGGCAACGAUGCGUAGCCUGCCUGAGGGGGUGGUCGGCCACACUGGAACUGAGCCACGCUCCAGACUCCUACGGGAGGCGCCAGUAGGGACUCUUCCGCAGUGGGCGAAAGCCUGACAGAGCAGCGCCGCGGGAUCGAUGAAGGUCUUCGGAUCGUAAAGCGCUGUUAUUAGGGAAGAACAAAUGUGUAAGUAACUAGGCACGAAUUGACGGUACCGACUCAGAAAGCCACGGCUAACUACGUG